CAACAGCUCAAUUGAAUUCUGCGCAGCCGAGUGUAAUUUGUAGAGGAUGCUUCUGGGCAGCGCCCGUUUCUAAGUUCCUUGGAAACAGGACGUCAUAGAGGGUGAGAAUCCCGUAUGUGACCGGCGCGCACCCUCCACGUAGCUCCUUCGACGAGUCGAGUUGUUUGGGAAUGCAGCUCUAAAUGGGAGGUAAAUUUCUUCUAAAAGCUAAAUACCGCCCAGAGACCGAUAGCGCACAAGUAGAGUGAUCGAAAGAUGAAAACCACUUUCGAAAGAAGAGUUAAAAACCACGUGAAAUUGUUGAAAGGGAAGCGCUGGCAACCAGACUUCGCGGCGGUGUUCCGCCGGUCUUUUGACCGGUCUACCCCCCGCCGCGAGGCCAACAUCGUCGGGGGCCGCCGGAUAAGACCAUGGGAAUGUGGCUCCCUCGGGAGUGUUAUAGCCCACGGUGAUGCGGCGUGUCCCGGGCGAGGUCCGCGCUUCGGCAAGGAUGUUGGCGUAAUGGUUGCCAGCGGCCCGUCUUGAAACACGGACCAAGGAGUCUAACAUCUAUGCGAGUGUUCGGGUGUCAAACCCCUACGCGUAAUGAAAGUGAACGGAGGUGGGAGCUCCGCCCCAACAGACACAGACCCG
rnacentral:rRNA from 1 species